rnacentral:lncRNA from 1 species
UAAUCUGUUUUCUCUAAUCAAACACUUAAUCAUCCAGUCUCCUCUCUGCGUUAUGGAUUCAUGAAUGUGAAGUGAGGAGAGUUGCUCAGUCAAGGUUUUUCACGUACUGCACAUCCAAGCUAGGUAAUGUCUCUGCAACUGCUGCUUCCUGAUGAUUAUAUUCAUCUGAAAUGACUAAGCUUGGUAAAUUAGGCUAAGUCAAGUCUGUGGAGCAGUCAAGGGACGAAUGAAGAAAAGAAUAAUGUAAUGGAGGCUACACCAGAGACAUGGGAAUCUAUCAGCAUGUGGCAAGG